rnacentral:lncRNA from 10 species
AGUGUUUAAUGGCAGGUUGAGUGGUGUAAACUGGCAGAAAAUGAGCUGUGAUAUUUCUACUUUAAGAUGAGAAUGAGAAACAACUUAUCUUGAUAAAAGCGUAGAAAUUGGUUUCUUCAGGAAGCCUUCCCUGCUUCUCUAGUUUGAGAGCUUACAAAAAGCUUGAUUGAAAAGAGAAGAGAAUGGAACACGGUAUGAUGACAACAAAGAGAAAAGGAGCCAAGAUUAGUCUGGACAGUAUGCAGACAUUGACUCUGCUUUGAGGACAGAGCUGGAAUUAAUUUCACGUGCACCACAUAAGGUACUUAGAGUCGGAAAGAAGGAAAAAUAAAAUAUAUUUUAUGAAUUGAAAUUUUAAAAUUUCAAAUAAGUUCACAUUCAAAUUAAGCGACCAGAGGAAAUGAUAUUCGUAGGAUUACAGGCCCUAAAAUGUAUACCCAGAAGAAAAUUGGAUCAGAAUGGAGGCAGUUUGAGUUUAAAAAUGUAGGAAGAUUCCACAAUGAUUAGAAUGAGUACUGUGAGUAUUUGAUUUUGUUCUAAUUAAGAAGAUACUGAUAAGGAAGAAUAGCUCUCAAACAAGUUAAUUGAAUAAAUAUGAUAUCUUUUUCCAUAAUAAAUUCAGAGAUGUCAAAUAAAAUUUAAUAUUGAUAUAGAUCC